UACGUAGGGUGCAAGCGUUGUCCGGAAUUACUGGGCGUAAAGCGCACGUAGGCGGCUUUGUAAGUUAGAGGUGAAAGCCUGGAGCUCAACUCCAGAACUGCCUUUAAGACUGCAUCGCUUGAAUCCAGGAGAGGUGAGUGGAAUUCCGAGUGUAGAGGUGAAAUUCGUAGAUAUUCGGAAGAACACCAGUGGCGAAGGCGGCUCACUGGACUGGUAUUGACGCUGAGGUGCGAAAGCGUGGGGAGCAAACAGG
rnacentral:rRNA from 1 species